rnacentral:rRNA from 1 species
GCCUUGAAAUACCACCCUUUAAUGUUUGAUGUUCUAACGUGGACCCGUAAUCCGGGUUGCGGACAGUGUCUGGUGGGUAGUUUGACUGGGGCGGUCUCCUCCUAAAGAGUAACGGAGGAGCACGAAGGUUGGCUAAUCCUGGUCGGACAUCAGGAGGUUAGUGCAAUGGCAUAAGCCAGCUUGACUGCGAGCGUGACGGCGCGAGCAGGUGCGAAAGCAGGUCAUAGUGAUCCGGUGGUUCUGAAUGGAAGGGCCAUCGCUCAACGGAUAAAAGGUACUCCGGGGAUAACAGGCUGAUACCGCCCAAGAGUUCAUAUCGACGGCGGUGUUUGGCACCUCGAUGUCGGCUCAUCACAUCCUGGGGCUGAAGUAGGUCCCAAGGGUAUGGCUGUUCGCCAUUUAAAGUGGUACGCGAGCUGGGUUUAGAACGUCGUGAGACAGUUCGGUCCCUAUCUGCCGUGGGCGCUGGAGAACUGAGGGGGGCUGCUCCUAGUACGAGAGGACCGGAGUGGACGCAUCACUGGUGUUCGGGUUGUCAUGCCAAUGGCACUGCCCGGUAGCUAAAUGCGGAAGAGAUAAGUGCUGAAAGCAUCUAAGCACGAAACUUGCCCCGA